GGGCCUGACCUGGUUUCGACAGGGGGAGAUAGGGUCGUGAGGCAACUCGUCAGAGAAGACGUUAAAACUAAAUCGAAGUAAAUGCUAACGACGAAAAGUUUGCAUUGGCCGCCUAACAGCCGCCUUGGGUUGUAACUGACCUCGAAACAGAAAAGUUACUGACAAGGGCUCCUUCGGGGGCCCUUGUUCAU
rnacentral:tmRNA from 1 species